CCCGCCUGAUCGCUGAAUCUCCGCGUAUGCGGGGAACGGGGGAACCACUUUCCUGGGGCGAAUCGCACCGAGGCUCCGACGGGUGUCGGAGGGAGGAUGCGUAGGGGUACGCUUCGGCGCCCCGAGUCCGUCAGCUAACCUCGUAAGCGUGGCUGAGGUGGUGG
rfam:Symbiobacterium thermophilum IAM 14863 DNA, complete genome.